GUGGCAGUGAUGGUCUCAGGGCUACAAUUCCCUUCCCACUCUCCUCUGCCUGUGAAACCCUAGCUAUUCUAAUUCAACAUAUGUGAAUGGAAUAAACAUCUCCCUUAUCUCUACAGUUUGUAAUGGAAUAGGAAUUGGUGAAUUUAAAGACACACUUUCCAUAAAUGCUACAAAUAUUAAACACUUCAAAAAUUGCACCUCAAUCAGUGGAGAUCUUCAUAUCCUGCCAGUAGCAUUUAGAGGUGACUCCUUCACACGUACUCUACCUCUGGAUCCAAAGGAACUGGAUAUUCUAAAAACUGUAAAGGAAAUAACAGGGUUUUUGCUGAUUCAGACCU